rnacentral:lncRNA from 1 species
AAAUUUGUAGAGGGUAAGUACUGAAACUCAAUUUUACUUUACUUUUAAUUUUUUGUGUUUGUAUAUGACGUAAUUUACUUUGAAGAAAUCUAGGCUAUAUUUUUACUGUCAAAUAUGUGAAAAUAAUAAAAGUUUUGAGAAUCGAAAUUGGAAUCAAUAGCUAUUUGAUUGAGGUGGGAAUUGGAAUUAACUGGGAUGUGUUUGUUUUGAGGUGUGUGCCUGUAGGUUUAAAUAUGCAUUUUAGUAGGAAUUUUAUUUUGUGGUGUUUGUGUCUGUAUAUUUUAAUAUGUUUAAAUAUGCAUUUGUCCAUUUUAAAUAUGCAUUUUAGUGGAAUGUUCAUAUGCUAGAAUUCUUCCAAAACAGAAGGACAAGAGUCAAUCAGAAAUAAAAUAUAAAUACACAAAAUAAGUAGUUAUUUUUUUAGCAAAAUUGCUACUAACAGUUAAGAAAAUAAUGAAAGGUUAUAAUUGUGCUUAUGCGGCAUUUUAAACAUAAUUAUUCAAAGAGAGACGAAUGAGGUUUUUUAACUCUCUCAUUACCAUCUAUGUUCUUUAGUUGCAUAUAUUUUCUAAAUAAAAAUGUCGAAAGAUAGGAGUUGGGUUUUGCUAGAUGAUCAUCGGUUGGAAGCAUAUCAAAAUGGUUUAGCAUUUCUAGAAUUUGCUUUUGAUAAGGCGGCCAUUGAUGAUAAAAUAAGGUGUCUAUGUAGAGACUGCAAGUGUCGAAAAGUCGGGGACCAUGAAUUCGUUCAUAGGCAUCUAUGAAUGAGUCGUCGGGGAGUGAUGGGAAGGUAAAAUUGUAUUUUUAAUUAAUUUAUAUCAUUAUAUGAUUUAUGCAUUGCAUCAAAAUAUAGUAACUUAUUUGGUAGUAUUACUAGUCCAAAUCUCAAAAAUGUC